rnacentral:rRNA from 1 species
GACGAACGCUGGCGGCGUGCUUAACACAUGCAAGUCGAACGGAAAGGCCCUGCUUUUGUGGGGUGCUCGAGUGGCGAACGGGUGAGUAACACGUGAGUAACCUGCCCUUGACUUUGGGAUAACUUCAGGAAACUGGGGCUAAUACCGGAUAGGAGCUCCUGCUGCAUGGUGGGGGUUGGAAAGUUUCGGCGGUUGGGGAUGGACUCGCGGCUUAUCAGCUUGUUGGUGGGGUAGUGGCUUACCAAGGCUUUGACGGGUAGCCGGCCUGAGAGGGUGACCGGCCACAUUGGGACUGAGAUACGGCCCAGACUCCUACGGGAGGCAGCAGUGGGGAAUAUUGCACAAUGGGCGGAAGCCUGAUGCAGCAACGCCGCGUGCGGGAUGACGGCCUUCGGGUUGUAAACCGCUUUCGCCUGUGACGAAGCGUGAGUGACGGUAAUGGGUAAAGAAGCACCGGCUAACUACGUGCCAGCAGCCGCGGUGAUACGUAGGGUGCGAGCGUUGUCCGGAUUUAUUGGGCGUAAAGGGCUCGUAGGUGGUUGAUCGCGUCGGAAGUGUAAUCUUGGGGCUUAACCCUGAGCGUGCUUUCGAUACGGGUUGACUUGAGGAAGGUAGGGGGAGAAUGGAAUUCCUGGUGGAGCGGUGGAAUGCGCAGAUAUCAGGAGGAACACCAGUGGCGAAGGCGGUUCUCUGGGCCUUUCCUGACGCUGAGGAGCGAAAGCGUGGGGAGCGAACAGGCUUAGAUACCCUGGUAGUCCACGCUGUAAACGGUGGGUACUAGGUGUGGGGUCCAUUCCACGGGUUCCGUGCCGUAGCUAACGCUUUAAGUACCCCGCCUGGGGAGUACGGCCGCAAGGCUAAAACUCAAAGGAAUUGACGGGGCCCCGCACAAGCGGCGGAGCAUGCGGAUUAAUUCGAUGCAACGCGUAGAACCUUACCUGGGUUUGACAUGGAUCGGGAGUGCUCAGAGAUGGGUGUGCCUCUUUUGGGGUCGGUUCACAGGUGGUGCAUGGCUGUCGUCAGCUCGUGUCGUGAGAUGUUGGGUUAAGUCCCGCAACGAGCGCAACCCUUGUUCACUGUUGCCAGCACGUUAUGGUGGGGACUCAGUGGAGACCGCCGGGGUCAACUCGGAGGAAGGUGGGGAUGACGUCAAGUCAUCAUGCCCCUUAUGUCCAGGGCUUCACGCAUGCUACAAUGGCUGGUACAGAGAGUGGCGAGCCUGUGAGGGUGAGCGAAUCUCGGAAAGCCGGUCUCAGUUCGGAUUGGGGUCUGCAACUCGACCUCAUGAAGUCGGAGUCGCUAGUAAUCGCAGAUCAGCAACGCUGCGGUGAAUACGUUCCCGGG